rfam:Felis catus breed Abyssinian Contig1274.1, whole genome shotgun sequence. [26-MAY-2016]
GCCUGGGUGGCUCAGUUGGUGAAACAUCUGACUUCGGCUCAGGUCAUGAUCUUGCAGUCCAUGGGUUCGAGCCCCAUGUCAGGCU